CUUAGUAGACUUGUUAGAGUCAUUCUGACUCUGACUCGUCCUUUGUCAGAUAAACUCCUCAAUGUCCUAUACGGUAUCUUCAUGGGAAAUACUCCACAGUUGCCACCAGUAGAUACCAAAAUUCUUCUCAUGACAGCCACAGAACUCGCUGAGAAAAUUCGAAAGAGACAAGCCUAACUCAGGCAGCCGGGCAAGUUCGUUUUAAAGACCACAAAGCGGAGAGAGACUCGAAAUCGGCUGCCUUGUACCGGAAAGCUGGGGCCAUACCAGUGACUGUAACUAAUGUACCGGAACUAUGCAUGUGGUGGGAGAGUGCUAACCUAGCAUUUGGGAUGACUAAAAAUCAUUAGGACAUCAGAAGAACCGUUGGAGGCAGCUCAGGUGGUGAAGCUGCCCUUAUCACAGCAGAUGGAGGAAUUAUUGGAAUCGGAAACAACUUAGGAGGAAGUAUUGGCAUACCAUCUUCUUUCUGUGGAAUCUACGGACACAAGCCUUCAACAGGUGUAAUUUCAAAUAGAAAAUACUGGCAGAAUACUGAAGGGAAGUUAAACGAUUUCAUCAGCACGGGUCCAAUGUGCAGAUAUGCGCAGGAUCUUUUGCUACUUGUUAAAGUACUGUCAGAUAACGAUCGAAGACUGCGACUUAACGAAAAAGUGAAUUUCCGCAACGUGAAAGUGUACUACAUGGAAGAAGUGCCUGGAUAUCUGAAUUCUGCUAUUUGGCCGAUUAAAGUAGCCGUCAGAAAGGCUGCCAAACAUUUCGAAAACGAGUAGGGGAUCAUUGCCACGAAAGUUAAUAUCGAAGAAUUAAGAUACGGCUUCAACAUCUGGGAGAGCAAGUUACUGGAAAUUGGAUCACCUUCAAUGGCCAGUAUGUUGUCCGGCGAAGACGCCGAAGAUUCGAAAAUCAACUUAAUCAUGGAGCUGAUUAAAAGCUUCUUGAGAUGUUCAGAUCACACUUGGCCAGCCAUCUAUUUCGCAAUGGUCGAUAUGAGGGAAAAAAGUAAAUUCUAUUAUGAAUGCUUGGAGAAAUUCAACGCCCUGAAAACGAAACUCGAAGAGCUUCUACAGGAUGAUGCCAUAUUUUUGCUACCCACUCACCCAGAAUUGCCACCACAUUAUCUCAUGACCAUUCCUAAACUUCGAAACAUCGUGUACACCUGCAUUUUCAACACCUUAGGCUAUCCAUCGACACACAUUCCAACAGGAUUACACGAAGGAAUACCCAUUGGCAUCCAAGCCAUCAGCAGACGAUUCCAAGAUCAUUUGACCGUCGCAGCAGCCGUCGAACUGGAUAAAGUUUUUAAUGGUUGGAUAUGCCCAUGUCCCGUCAGUGUUAAAUAAAUACCAUUUAUUUUCAAACUUUGUGAAAAAUAGCACGUUUACAAGUAUGAGGAUGUUCAUUUCCAUGUGACAGUUUGCAAUUUGGUUCCCAAAAUUACACAUGUUGUCUUCGACUUUUGUACAAGAAGUUUCAGUAUUAUUUAAGAAAAAGAAAUUAAAAUGUUGUCUUAAUUAUUUGUGUAAUUUAUUAAAGAAUGUUAAUAAAAUACUUA
rnacentral:lncRNA from 1 species